GCUCUGCGGCACGUGGGAUCGGGGCACGAACCCGCGUCCCCUGCAUCGUCAGGCGGACUCUCAACCACUGCACCACCAGGGAAGCCCCUUCCUAAGUUUUGUACACUCAUAUUUGCAGUUGCCAGCAUCUUUUGAACACUCUUCCGACGUUUGGGGAAUUUCCUCCAUUUUGAGGCCUGCUUCCUAAGGCACAAGCCAAAACUUAGCCUCCGAGAUGGAGAUGCAGGGCAGGGCCAGGCCGGAGGAAAUGCUCCAUCGCUGUUCUUGACUGCACGCUCCUGGAGGGCCAGGCCUCAUGUUCAGCGGGAGGGAUAGUGUUGAGGCCGGAAUGUAGAUGCAGGCCACUGUUCCCUCACUAUGUUAAGUGGCAAAGCAGGUAGGGGACAAUUCCAUCCACUACUAUCCGGAGGAGCUCCCUCAGGGGCGGUUAUGUUCUUGGCUGGAACUCAGAGAACCAGGGCAGCAGGCUGGGCGAAGGCCUCCACAGGUCAGGGCUGUGUUCCCAGGGAUCACAGGUGUCCAGGAGGUGGCGGGGCAAUGGGUUUCUCACAGUGUGACCCAGUGGGUGAGGAGCCAGUUGGUGACGUGAAUGCGUACAGUCUCCUGGAUGACGUAAAUUCUCAGUCAAAGCUGCCUGCACUGUCUCAACAAGGGCGUGGCUGCCGGACGGUGCCUCAGUCCCCAGGCUCCCUGACGCUCCAGAACACAGAAGCCUUGGCUCUGUGGUGGCUUCCAGGUCCUGUGUGGUGGAGAAUGGAGCGAAAGCCCUGGAAAAGGAAGUCAACUGGGAGGACGAACUGAAAUCUCUUGUGCACAGGCAGGAAGGAGGGCGCUGCAGAACAGUUAAGAUACGAGAACAUAAACAUCUAGGUGCAAGGGAGGGUCUGGGAACAGAGAGGAGGUCCCCGGCCCUGCGUCUGAAGCGUGCCCGAAGCCAGUCGGGAGGGCGAAUUGUGCCGCGCUCCCUGCACGUGGCGCCGCAGUAUAGACACAGGUCGCUACAACACUCCCUGCCCGUGUGACUUGUUGAGAAGAAAAGCGGCCCAUAGGGACGGGCGUCCAAGAACUCUGCUGCUGCCCAUGCAACUCAUUCCUUGAAGUUUAUUCUACCUGGAAUGAAACAAACCAAAAAACAAACUAAACGCCACUCUCUGGGCUCCGUCCCAGCACCGCCACCACUCCCGGGCGCCUCCUAAAACGUGCUGCUAGGAAUCCAGAGGUUUACGAGCGUGUUUGUUUCCCGCGCCCGCCCACCUCGACACCGAAAGUAGAGUGGCUGGGCCCGAGUUCCGCCUAAGCGACCGGAGGGUCGCCGCCGCCGCCGCCGCCGAAAGCGCGCCGAGCUCGGCUGCAGUUGCCCUGGCGGCCGCGGCGGGCCAGGGGCAACAGUGAGCUGCGGCGGCGUUAAAAGGAGGCUCCGGCUGGCAGGCAGCUCCAUCUCGGGCUGGGAAAACUAAGGGAGCGGCGGCGAAGGGCCCCCGGCCUUCUUAAGGGCGGGCGCGAGGAGGACGGUGCAGUACGACUUGUAGGAAGAGCGAAGAGGAGAUCGUGCGCCUGCACCAGGAUGGCCGAGUGGUUAAGGCGUUGGACUUAAGAUCCAAUGGACAUAUGUCCGCGUGGGUUCGAACCCCACUCCUGGUUUUGAUGUCUCUUGAACAACUUAUCAGAGUGCUUGGCAGAGAAGCAAUGAUUGCACUGGGUCCUUACUGAAGUGAGAUGGAAACUGCCUAGCAGAGUGUCUCUAUACAUUGUAUGCACUAUAUAAAUACUUGUUGAAUAAAUGAACAACGUUGAAGUCCACUGAGUAUAUUUCACAGUUCAUUCUAUUUAUUGUACACAAAUUAAUCUUCAUUUAGGAUAUGUGUUUUAAAGUGUACUCAGGAUUUGUUUUAAUCAGGUAUGGUAAGACACUCAGAUACAGAAAUGACUGUCAUGAAGGAAGAAUUUUUUUAUACUCACAGAUUCCCUGGAAACAAGAGCCACGGCACACCAUGCAGGGCCACAUAGGGAAGAAUUAGGGUCAGUCAGGAGGCAGAGGGAGCAAGGAGAAAGCAUGGGCAAGAACUUUUAUUGUGGUUUUCACAGGAAAGAAUGGGCAAAGCAGGGUAAACAGUCUUAGGAUUGGCUACUUUGAAUAAUUUCAGGGGGCUCUGGAGUGUAGGGGCUGCCCUGAGUAUUCUGGUACUUCUAGGAAUUAUCUAACCCUGGGAGAAGCAGUCCCUCCCUGGUCAGCAAGGCCCCAGAUGUCAGAGCAUCAAGAAUACAGAAAGUAAGAAAGUAUAGUUAGUAUGGUAUGGGUUCAGGCAUGCUCACACUUUUUUUUCCCUUCUCUUCCUCCUUCAGCUAAGGUAGACCUUACUCAUUAGGAGAAUCAAGAUUCAGAAGCCCAAAGAGACAAACACUUAAGUAGUUUUUGAAUCAUUUCUAUCUGGAUAAACUAUAUAAUAUACCUGUGCAAUUCAAGUCUCAAAUUUAUCUUUCGGUUUAGGUUGUAUUUUCCGUCAUUUUAUUCAUUACUAUAGUGUAAUGAGGCUAGCAGUUCUGAAUAAGGUAACUUUUAAAAUUGCAUUGGAAAGAUGGAUUACUAAAAAGAGUGUUGCCUAUUCAUCUCAAUUCCACAAUCUCCUUUAAAUAUAAACAUAGGAGUAUGUGUAUUUGUAAAAUAUGCAGUGUAGGUCCUAAGUGGCAACAUAGAACUGCAAUUAGGAGUCAGAUGGCCCAAGUUUUUUUUUUAAUAUAUAAGUUUCAGGCGUACACCAUUAUAAUUUGACAUAUGUAUGCACUAUGAAGUGAUCCCCACCACAUGUGUAGUUACCAUCCAUCACCAUACAGUUGACCCCCUUCAUCCGUUUUGCCCACCACCCGCCAUGCCCCUUCCUCUCUG